rnacentral:rRNA from 1 species
UACGAAGGGGGCUAGCGUUGCUCGGAAUCACUGGGCGUAAAGGGUGCGUAGGCGGGUUUUAAGUCAGGGGUGAAAUCCUGGAGCUCAACUCCAGAACUGCCUUUGAUACUGAAGAUCUUGAGUUCGGGAGAGGUGAGUGGAACUGCGAGUGUAGAGGUGAAAUUCGUAGAUAUUCGCAAGAACACCAGUGGCGAAGGCGGCUCACUGGCCCGAUACUGACGCUGAGGCUCGAAGCAAGCGGUGGAGCGAACAGG